UACGGAGGGGGCUAGCGUUGUUCGGAAUUACUGGGCGUAAAGCGCGCGUAGGCGGCUUAGCAAGUUAGAGGUGAAAGCCCGAAGCUCAACUUCGGAAUUGCCUUUAAAACUGCAAAGCUAGAAUCAUGGAGAGGUGAGUGGAAUUCCGAGUGUAGAGGUGAAAUUCGUAGAUAUUCGGAAGAACACCAGUGGCGAAGGCGACUCACUGGCCCGAUACUGACGCUGAGGUGCGAAAGCGUGGGGGAGCGAACAGG
rnacentral:rRNA from 1 species